CGGGGUGUAGCGCAGCUUAGUAGCGAGCUACGUUCGGGACGUAAAGGUCGUGGACGGUCCGCCGCAGCGGUUCGAAUCCCACCACCCCGA
rnacentral:tRNA from 1 species